rnacentral:rRNA from 1 species
AAGCCCCGCAAGGGGUAAGUAGAGUGGCAAACGGGUGAGUAACACGUGGGUGACCUGCCUUCGAGUGGGGGAUAACGUCCCGAAAGGGACGCUAAUACCGCAUGACAUCCUGCUUUUGGAAAAGCGGAGAUCAAAGCUGGGGAUCGCAAGACCUGGCGCUUGAAGAGGGGCCCGCGCCUGAUUAGCUAGUUGGUGGGGUAACGGCCUACCAAGGCGACGAUCAGUAUCCGGCCUGAGAGGGCGGACGGACACACUGGGACUGAGACACGGCCCAGACUCCUACGGGAGGCAGCAGUGGGGAAUUGUUCGCAAUGGGCGCAAGCCUGACGACGCAACGCCGCGUGGAGGACGAAGAUCUUCGGG